AGACACCUACAUAUAUGAAGGCAACAAUAGUGUAUAGCUGUUCAAAUGUCACAAAUAGAUUGAGAGAAAACAAAUCCAGGUUACAUAAUAAGACCAAGGAAAACGCAUCAACUCUAAGAGGAAAACAACGAAACAACAUAAACACUUAAGUGCAACAUAAACAGACGCCAACAUAAAUAGAAACGGACAAUUCGAUAACAGCUGCCAUAUUCCAUAUACUAUAUAAUAUUUUAAGUAAAUAUAGGUUCAAUAAUGAAUACACACAUUGUAUAACGAUGUUUGAAUUUAUGAAACUCAUAAAGAGUUUAGGUUCAAAUAUGUCAAACUUAUUUUUAAUAUUAAUAUUAUUACCGUCAUCAUUAACAUUAUUAAUGUUUGUCUUUGGUUUUCAACCGUUGCGAUUGUUUUAUGAUAACUCAAAAACAUGCAUGA
rnacentral:lncRNA from 1 species